rnacentral:misc_RNA from 1 species
UAAUAUUUUGCUUGCAGUAAUGGGGUUUAUUCAUAAGACGAGAAGCAAAACUAGCAAAUUGCUUUCCAACUUUAUCAAUUCAAGUAGAUAUAAAGCAUUUGCAUAGCACACAGGAUGAGAUGAGAUUUCAUCAAGAAGGACAUGUAUACAAGUUAUACUACUAACCAAACACAAUUUUCCAUCCGAAUCUUGUAUCCAAGAAGCGAUUCCCCAGCUUUCAGCACGACAUAUUUUGGACCACGAGGUUUCCCUCCACCUACAGCGGUAACAUUCAAAAGGAAUAGCAAGCAAACACAUGUUUGCAGCCAGAACUAAUUUUCUGGGGUUGGUUGUCGACGCAGGCGUCUCCGGGGACCUGAUCCUCCAUCAGAGUCGUCAUUCUCGUCAUCCCUAGUAUCAAUUUCCCCUUCAUAAGUUUCACCCCAAAGUCUUCUUGAAGGUCGUCUCCUCCCAGUUGCCUGAGCCCGGGUUCUUGAGGAACCUGACCAGCUACUACUCCGAGAACUACUCCUAGGUUGGAGAAUCCGAACAAAGAGAAAAACAGUCAGCAAACCACCCUCAUCAAAGGUUAAACUGGUGCUUUCACUACCCUCUUCUGAAACAGAUGACUGCAAUGUACUGAGCAGAUCUCCUAAAUCUCUCUGUCGUUCCAGCCUCCUCCAACUGCGCUGCCUCUCUGGGUCAGCUUCUGUAGGACGUACAAGAGGAUGCUCCUGCCUAGCAUGCUUACGCAAAUCUGUAUAUGUGCCACUGAACUCGCAUGUCUCGCUAGAGCAGCUUCUUAAUUUGGCAUUCAUGUGACGACGGGCAGAGUCUACAACAAUCCAAUCAUUUAUCUGGCCACGGCAGAGAGGGCAUAGCAUCUUCUAUAUCCCUAGAUGCCUUGUCUUGCGAGAACCAUGAAAUAAAGAAGAUGCUAU